rnacentral:rRNA from 1 species
ACCCGCACCCCGAGUGGUCGGGACGAUUAUUGGGCCUAAAGCAUCCGUAGCCGGUUUUACAAGUCCCCCGUUAAAUCCAGCUGCUUAACAGAUGGGCUGCGGAGGAUACUAUAAGACUAGGAGGCAGGAGAGGCAAGCGGUACUCAGUGGGUAGGGGUAAAAUCCGUUGAUCCAUUGAAGACCACCAGUGGCGAAGGCGGUCUACCAGAACGCGUUCGACGGUGAGGGAUGAAAGCUGGGGGAGCAAACCGGA